CGCUUCAAAAACAAUAGGGUCCUCGCAGGUUCCCUGCUCGGGCCCUAAUUAAGGAUCCAUGGCGGGACUCAAACCCAGAGCAGAAGCAAAGCCUCCAUUCACAUCCUGCUCUACCACCUGAGCUAAACACCAUUAUGAGUUCACACUGGAUGAAUAAACACAAUGAGUCCCGCCCACAGACUUUCUGACGAAUGCAGGUGGAGCACGCCGAAAAGGGGCGGUCUCGCUCGUUUCCCGCGUGAAAUUAGUGGAUUUCCCUCCAAAACUGUAGAUGUGUAUUUAAAUAGCUGUUGGAUCGUCACUCUGGUUCCAGCGGCUCUACUCUGAGGACACGAAUACGGUGAACAGUGGGACUUGUCUUCAGCUUCAGGUGGAACAGCUGUGGCCUGUACGGUGAUCAGACCCGGAGAGGAGACACACCUGGUCCAACCAGGUGAUGGACAGUUGAAAGGACGAAUCACCAAGAUGAGCCAAUCAAUGGAGACGCCACAGGAGCCUGAACCUGUACUUCACGAGGGGGAUCAAACAUGGCUGAUAUAUCUGCAGUUCACUGCUUGUUUCUCCAGAACGAGAGCAGCCAGGAGCUGAAAGUUGUG